UACGGAGGGGGCUAGCGUUGUCCGGAAUCAUUGGGCGUAAAGCGCGCGUAGGUGGCUUCGUAAGUCCGUUGUGAAAGUCAAAGGCUCAACCUUUGAAAGCCGAUGGAUACUGUGGAGCUAGAGUACGGAAGAGGCGAGUGGAAUUCCUGGUGUAGCGGUGGAAUGCGCAGAUAUCAGGAGGAACACCAAUAGCGAAGGCAGCUCGCUGGGACGUUACUGACGCUCGAUGCACGAAAGCGUGGGGAGCAAACAGG
rnacentral:rRNA from 1 species